UGAGAGGGUGUUUUAAAGUAGGAAUAAUACAUACAGUGGUAUCUUGACUUAUGAGUGCACCAAUUUAUGAGUUUUCCUAGCUAUGAGCCGUCACUUGGUCAGUUUUUUGCUUUCAGUUGCGACCCAAAAUCCGAGUU